AUUUUCUUUUACUUGCAGAACACGGUAUCCAAAAGAGAGCAUGUUAUUAUUAUUACUACAUUGGUCGAUGUUGCAGAAGGAGAUGGUGGAACAAAUACUACUGUUACAUCUGCUGGUACAGAACCAUUAGAUGUUAUUGAUUUGAAAAAUCGGAGUGCCUCUUCUUACAUUCAGUACUUUUGUAUCUUCGGAACUUUUCUUUUUUUUUCUGUUCUAUAUCAAGACUCUUUAGACACUUCUAUGUGGUUAAUUAUGUAAUAUAUUUGAAAGUGUGUUUGUCAGUGCGUCUUC
rnacentral:lncRNA from 1 species